GUUCACUCAAGGAAGACGCAAGUAUGUAUGCCAAUUGUCAUGUAAAUAUAAUCUAUAUAUAUGAAUUGAUGAAAUGGAUAUGGUUGAUCAUGAAGACCAAUAUUUCACUUUAUUAUUGAAACAUAUAAGUUGAAGCAAGUUCACCCCAGGCCAGCCUAUCCCAUGCAGCAUACCAUCCUACUAAGCCCCCCAAGGCAUCUACUACUACUAGCUAGAACAGAUCAAAGCUUUUGAAAGACCACUCGAAAAGAAGAAAACACAGCAAGGUCGAUGAAGAGAAGAAGAAAAGAGGGUCUGCUGCCGGUGAAGAAAUCACUGGAAACAACCAUAUUGGAGGCUUAGGAUCGAUAUAUCUUCUACCGCUUGCGCAAGCCCCUAAAAUAAGCAGAAGGACUUGCUUCAAAAUUUCUCCUUGGUAUGCGAGAGUUCCUCCCUGGCGCUUUCAUUGUUUUAACACUCUUGGCAGAACCUCCACAGCAACCACGAAACAGGAGUACUAUCACUACCACUACCACUGCAGCCAUUAUAGGUACGUUUUCUUUCUUAAACCAUCGGAGGACAUAUACCACUGUUUCGGAAGCCAGAAAUUUCUUUAUUAGAUCAGAAAGCUAGCGGAUGAAAUCAGACACAGCACCAGAAGCCAGAAAUUUCUUUAUUUGAUCAGAAAGCUUGUGGGUUAAAUCAGACACUGCAUCGGAAGCUAUAAAUUUCU